rnacentral:lncRNA from 1 species
UUGUUGAGAAAGUCAAUCAAUAGGUCGGACCCCUGGAUUCUAGAAGCCCUACUUUUGAUACCCUAUAAGACAUACCAAAGCAUCCAUAGAAAUAAUGCCAUGGAGUUCAACACUCUGAGAUAUACAUGUCGCAUCAGCCACAACAUGCAUCACAUUCCUGAUUUUAUAGAAAGGCAUAUCCUAGCUCACUAAAAACCCUCAAG